UUGCAUAUGAUCUACUGGACCCUGAUGAUGAACAUAACUGAAACUUUCGUUCUCCUGAGGCUAUCAAUGCUGAAAUCAUUGGAGACCUGAACUGAAGGGUUAAGAUUAUUUUCAUGUUCUCUUGUGAAGUAUGUUUAAUUUUUCAUGUUUUCAUCAAGUAUCUUAUUGAGUAUCUUUUUCUACAAUGCCUAGCUAUUCACAACUUCAAUGGAAUUAUACAUUUCCAUACUUGUGAGGGAUUUUUGCUUUCCUGGUUCCUAUCUGGUAGGAUUUUUUUGCCAAAAAAAAAAUAAAUAAAUAACUAAGGCUCUAUUUGUUCUGUUUAGACUCCGAUUGGUAAAUGGGCCUGAGAUUUUUAGUGGGCUUAAACAUCUUUUAUUCCAAUUGGUGUGCCUUGUAAACAUCCUUGCCUUAGUGCAUGACUUUCCUCUUCUGGAUUUCGUAAUUUGAUAUUUGUCUCAGACACAUUAGGGCUUAGGGCAUGGAAGAAGAUGAAGAUUCCGGAUAGUUCUUGAAAAUUAGUCAAGUAACAAUCUUAAUGGCAAAGAAAUCUAUAACUAAUGAAACGAUUAAAACUUGUAGGGCCAACUUAUGUGCUUAGAUCAAUGCUUUGGAAGUCAUAGUGAGGCUGGAUGUUUGAAUUAGUGCUUUGUAAUGCUAUGUCUUCAAAAGAUAAAAACAAAAGCUUUAGAAGGUAAAGAAAAAAAAAAAGAAAAGCUGUGAACUAGGGGCAGAGAAUAUCGGGUUUUAGGCUCAAACCGGCACCUCAGUUUUCAUCUGUUGGAGAUUAUCGGUUUUGGAGGCAGGGGCGAUGCUGAUCGACCGACUCCAAGCAUCAUUGAUGAACUCUGAUGAACUAUCACAAGAAGAGAAAAAUGAAGAGAUGGAAAGAACAAAAGAACGGGAAACUAGAAGAUGAAGGUAGGUGUGCAGCGCCCUCUCAGAUACUGUUUUUCCUUUUAUUUUCCUAUCAACACAUGGUAGUCGGCCGGUUUGGUCGGAAAAUAUAGUUUUGUUGUCGCUGAUCAAGUGGUGGGCUGUGCACCAAAACCGAGACUGAUAUUGGUUUUUCGUGUUGUUUGAAUAUCAUGAACAGGUUUAUUACAAGAACAUCAGAAAAACAAUUCCUUUAUGCAUUUGGCGGCACCUUUUUCCAUUAUGAAAGUCCAGCAAGAAUGUGGAAGAAGAGGAAUUCAACAUAUUCUUUCUUCCUUCAACUGUUUCAUGCUCAUCAACAAUUGUUCUACACUUCAGAGAAUCUCUAAUAUCAGUUUCAUCAAAACAUUUGACCCCAUCAAUGACAUUACAGUUGAAGGAGUAGGAUUCUUUACCAAUGAUAAUCGCUCAAAGAUUUGACCCAUUGUGGACUUAUUGAAUUUUCUGAUGGCCACGAUGCGGUCAAAUCUUUAAUCUUAUCGAGCGAUUAUCACUGGUAAAGAACUCGUUGCCAUCUUGGUAAUGAUCUUGUUGCCAUGAGUGCCAUGAAAGUCCAUGUUUUGAUUGAAACCUUUUAAUGAACUCACAGUAGCGGAGAGAACUAAUUAUAAGAAGCUUGUGGGGUUGGAAUCUGAAAUGAAAAAAAUGUUUACUCGGGAUGGUCUGAUUUGGGACCGUCAAGGAGCUAAAAGUUACUUUUAAAAUCUCAUAGAUUAAAAAUAUAUACUCAAUUACACCAAGGACUGGAAGGUAUUCAUAAUAAGGAACAAAAGUGUAUUUUAUCUAUUCUAAUAUCUAUUUUUUAGAAUUUUAUUUUGAUCACUUUUUUAAUAUAAA